ensembl:snRNA U6 U6 spliceosomal RNA
GUGCUCGCUUUGGCAGCACAUAUACUAAAAUUGGAAUGAUACAGAGAAGAUUAUGAUGGCCCCUGUGCAAGGAUGACAUGCAAAUUUGUGAAGUGUUUCAUAUUAAA